rnacentral:rRNA from 1 species
CUGACCUACGGGAGGCAGCAGUGAGGAAUAUUGGUCAAUGGGCGGAAGCCUGAACCAGCCAAGUCGCGUGAGGGAAUAAGGCCCUACGGGUCGUAAACCUCUUUUGCCGGGGAGCAAGGGCGGGGACGUGUCCCGGCCCGGAGAGUACCCGGAGAAAAAGCACCGGCUAACUCCGUGCCAGCAGCCGCGGUAAUACGGAGGAUGCGAGCGUUAUCCGGAUUUAUUGGGUUUAAAGGGUGCGUAGGCGGGCUUUUAAGUCAGCGGUAAAAUCGCGGGGCUCAACCUCGCUCCGCCGUUGAAACUGG